AGAGUUUGAUCAUGGCUCAGAUUGAACGCUGGCGGCAGGCCUAACACAUGCAAGUCGAACGGUAACAGGAAACAGCUUGCUGUUUCGCUGACGAGUGGCGGACGGGUGAGUAAUGUCUGGGAAACUGCCUGAUGGAGGGGGAUAACUACUGGAAACGGUAGCUAAUACCGCAUAACGUCGCAAGACCAAAGAGGGGGACCUUCGGGCCUCUUGCCAUCAGAUGUGCCCAGAUGGGAUUAGCUAGUAGGUGGGGUAACGGCUCACCUAGGCGACGAUCCCUAGCUGGUCUGAGAGGAUGACCAGCCACACUGGAACUGAGACACGGUCCAGACUCCUACGGGAGGCAGCAGUGGGGAAUAUUGCACAAUGGGCGCAAGCCUGAUGCAGCCAUGCCGCGUGUAUGAAGAAGGCCUUCGGGUUGUAAAGUACUUUCAGCGGGGAGGAAGGGAGUAAAGUUAAUACCUUUGCUCAUUGACGUUACCCGCAGAAGAAGCACCGGCUAACUCCGUGCCAGCAGCCGCGGUAAUACGGAGGGUGCAAGCGUUAAUCGGAAUUACUGGGCGUAAAGCGCACGCAGGCGGUUUGUUAAGUCAGAUGUGAAAUCCCCGGGCUCAACCUGGGAACUGCAUCUGAUACUGGCAAGCUUGAGUCUCGUAGAGGGGGGUAGAAUUCCAGGUGUAGCGGUGAAAUGCGUAGAGAUCUGGAGGAAUACCGGUGGCGAAGGCGGCCCCCUGGACGAAGACUGACGCUCAGGUGCGAAAGCGUGGGGAGCAAACAGGAUUAGAUACCCUGGUAGUCCACGCCGUAAACGAUGUCGACUUGGAGGUUGUGCCCUUGAGGCGUGGCUUCCGGAGCUAACGCGUUAAGUCGACCGCCUGGGGAGUACGGCCGCAAGGUUAAAACUCAAAUGAAUUGACGGGGGCCCGCACAAGCGGUGGAGCAUGUGGUUUAAUUCGAUGCAACGCGAAGAACCUUACCUGGUCUUGACAUCCACGGAAGUUUUCAGAGAUGAGAAUGUGCCUUCGGGAACCGUGAGACAGGUGCUGCAUGGCUGUCGUCAGCUCGUGUUGUGAAAUGUUGGGUUAAGUCCCGCAACGAGCGCAACCCUUAUCCUUUGUUGCCAGCGGUCCGGCCGGGAACUCAAAGGAGGCUGCCAGUGAUAAACUGGAGGAAGGUGGGGAUGACGUCAAGUCAUCAUGGCCCUUACGACCAGGGCUACACACGUGCUACAAUGGCGCAUACAAAGAGAAGCGACCUCGCGAGAGCAAGCGGACCUCAUAAAGUGCGUCGUAGUCCGGAUUGGAGUCUGCAACUCGACUCCAUGAAGUCGGAAUCGCUAGUAAUCGUGGAUCAGAAUGCCACGGUGAAUACGUUCCCGGGCCUUGUACACACCGCCCGUCACACCAUGGGAGUGGGUUGCAAAAGAAGUAGGUAGCUUAACCUUCGGGAGGGCGCUUACCACUUUGUGAUUCAUGACUGGGGUGAAGUCGUAACAAGGUAACCGUAGGGGAACCUGCGGUUG
rnacentral:rRNA from 1 species